ACUUAUACACAUUGCAUAAGCAACAGUAUCAGUAUAAGAAAAAUCCAGAGAUUUCUCUUGUUCCAUUUCGCAGUUUUCCGAUUCAUUCGAUAGGUGAAACGGAAUCAUGUCACGUUUAAUCCAAGCUCGAUCCUCUCUCUCCAGAUUCUGGACUGGAUCAUCCAGAAAUGUUCGGUUUUUGUCAACUGAAUCCAAUAAAACAGAUGAGCCCUUUAAAGUUGAGGAAGCAGAAACAGUAAAUAUGCCUCCACCCCCAACAGAGAAGUUACUUGUGCUCGGUGGAAAUGGAUUCGUAGGCUCACAUGUCUGUAAGGAAGCUCUAGAUCGUGGUCUUACAGUUGCUAGUCUUAGCAGAACAGGAAGGUCGUCCAUUCAAGAUUCUUGGGCUAACAAUGUGAUUUGGCAUCAAGGAAACCUUUUUUCAACUGAUUCAUGGAAGGAUGCACUCAAGGGAGUAACUUCUGUUAUCUCUUGCGUUGGUGGGUUUGGCUCUAACUCACACAUGUAUAAAAUCAAUGGGACAGCUAAUAUAAAUGCUAUCAGAGCUGCUUCAGAAGAAGGAGUGAAAAGAUUUGUUUACAUCUCCGCUGCAGACUUUGGCAUUGCAAAUUAUGUGUUACAAGGUUAUUAUGAUGGGAAGAGAGCUGCUGAGACUGAGCUGCUAACAAGAUAUCCAUACGGAGGAAUAAUCCUGAGACCUGGAUUUAUCUAUGGAACCCGUCGUGUUGGGAGCAUGAAAUUACCCCUUGGUGUAAUUGGUUCUCCUCUAGAGAUGAUUCUACAGCGUGCAAAACCUCUGAGUCAGAUACCCCUUGUUGGGCCUCUUUUUACUCCUCCUGUGAAUGUCACUGCAGUAGCUAAAGUUGCCGUCAGAGCAGCAACAGAUCCUGUAUUCCCUCCUGGUGUGAUUGAUGUUCACGGAAUCUUGCGCUACAGCCAGCAAAGAUCUGUAUAAGGUGAACGAUUUCAUCUGAAAAUAAUGAUAGUCUGAUACCAACUGAAGAAUUCUUUUUCAAUCCUCG
rnacentral:misc_RNA from 1 species